rnacentral:rRNA from 1 species
UACGUAGGCAGCGAGCGUUGUUCGGAGUUACUGGGCGUAAAGGGCUCGUAGGCGGCCAACUAAGUCCGACGUGAAAUCCCAAAGCUUAACUUUGGAACUGCGUCGGAUACUGGAUGGCUUGAAUUCGGGAGAGGGAUGCAGAAUUCCAGGUGUAGCGGUGAAAUGCGUAGAUAUCUGGAGGAAUACCGGUGGCGAAGGCGGCAUCCUGGACCGACAUUGACGCUGAUGAGCGAAAGCUAGGGGAGCAAACGGG